rnacentral:tRNA from 1 species
GGGCCUAUAGCUCAGUUGGUUAGAGCACCUGACUCAUAAUCAGGUGGUCCCAGGUUCGAGUCCUGGUGGGCCCA